rnacentral:rRNA from 1 species
AAUACGGAGGGUGCAAGGGUUGUUCGGAAUUACUGGGCGUAAAUCGCGCGUNGUAGGUGGUUUGAUCGUGAUGUGAAAGCCCUCGGCACAAAUGCAUACACGAGCAUAUGAUACUGGCAGACUUGAGCAUUGGAGGGGGUGGUGGAAUUCCCGGUGUUGAGCUGAAAUUCGUAGACCCNGGGAGGAAAACCNGUGGCGAAGGCGACACCUGGCCAAAUACUAAGAUUAGCUGAGGUGCGAAAGCGUGGGGAGCAAACUGGAUUAGAUACCCUGNUAGUCCACGCCGUNAACGAUGUCUGCUAGGUGUUGGGAUGGUUAAUCGUCUCCUUGCCGCAGCUGAAACCCACUAAGAAGACCGCCUGGGGAGUACCGUCGCAAGAUUAAAACUCACUGGUANUCANGGGGGCCCGCACAG